rnacentral:rRNA from 1 species
AUUGAACGCUGGCGGCAGGCUUAACACAUGCAAGUCGAGCGAGCGGCGGACGGGUGAGUAAUGUCUGGGAAACUGCCUGAUGGAGGGGGAUAACUACUGGAAACGGUAGCUCAUACCGCAUACCAUCAGAUGUGCCCAGAUGCGAUUAGCUAGUAGGUGGGGUAAUGGAUCACCUAGGGGACGAUCCCUAGCUGGUCUGAGAGGAUGACCAGCCACACGGGAACUGAGACACGGUCCAUACUCCUACGGGAGGCAGCAGUGGGGAAUAUUGCACAAUGGGCGCAAGCCGGAUGCAGCCAUGCCGCGUGUGUGAAGAAGGCCUUCGGGUUGUAAAGCACGUUCAGCGAGGAGGCGUUACUCGCAGAAGAAGCACCGGCUAACUCCGUGCCAGCAGCCGCGGUAAUAC